rnacentral:rRNA from 1 species
AUUGAACGCUGGCGGCAUGCCUUACACAUGCAAGUCGAACGGCAGCACGGGAGCAAUCCUGGUGGCGAGUGGCGAACGGGUGAGUAAAGUAUCGGAACGUGCCCAGUCGUGGGGGAUAACGUAGUGAAAGUUACGCUAAUACCGCAUACGAUCGAUGGAUGAAAGCGGGUGAUCGCAAGACCUGGCGCGCUUGGAGGGGCCGAAAUCAGGUUAGGUAGUUGGGGGGGUAAAGGCUCACCAAGCCGACGAUCUGUAACUGGUCUGAGAGGACGACCAGCCACACUGGGACUGAGACACGGCCCAGACUCCUACGGGAGGCAGCAGUGGGGAAUUUUGGACAAUGGGCGAAAGCCUGAUCCAGCCAUGCCGCGUGCAGGAUGAAGGCCUUCGGGUUGUAAACUGCUUUUGUACGGAACGAAAAGGUUUGGCCUAAUAAGCUGAGCUCAUGACGGUACCGUAAGAAUAAGCACCGGCUAACUACGUGCCAGCCGCCGCCGUAA